GAUGAACGCUGACAGAAUGCUUAACACAUGCAAGUCAACUUGAAUUUGGGUUUUUAACUUAGGUUUGGGUGGCGGACGGGUGAGUAACGCGUAAAGAACUUGCCUCACAGCUAGGGACAACAUUUGGAAACGAAUGCUAAUACCUAAUAUUAUGAUAAUAGGGCAUCCUAUAAUUAUGAAAGCUAUAAGCGCUGUGAGAGAGCUUUGCGUCCCAUUAGCUAGUUGGAGAGGUAACGGCUCACCAAGGCGAUGAUGGGUAGCCGGCCUGAGAGGGUGGUCGGCCACAAGGGGACUGAGACACGGCCCUUACUCCUACGGGAGGCAGCAGUGGGGAAUAUUGGACAAUGGACCGAGAGUCUGAUCCAGCAAUUCUGUGUGCACGAUGAAGUUUUUCGGAAUGUAAAGUGCUUUCAGUUGGGAAGAAACAAAUGACGGUACCAACAGAAGAAGUGACGGCUAAAUACGUG
rnacentral:rRNA from 1 species